UACGUAGGGUGCGAGCGUUUGUCCGGAAUUAUUGGGCGUAAAGAGCUUGUAGGUGGCUCGUUGCGUCGGGAGUGAAAACCUGCGGCUUAACCGCAGGCCUGCUUCCGAUACGGGCGAGCUAGAGUUCGGCAGGGGAGACUGGAAUUCCUGGUGUAGCGGUGGAAUGCGCAGAUAUCAGGAAGAACACCCGUGGCGAAGGCGGCUCUCUGGGACGGUACUGACGCUGAGACGCGAAAGCGUGGGGAGCGAACAGG
rnacentral:rRNA from 1 species